rnacentral:rRNA from 1 species
CUAUUUUGGAGAGUUUGAUCCUGGCUCAGGACGAACGCUGGCGGCGUGCUUAACACAUGCAAGUCGAACGGAGAACUUUUUUCGGAAUGUUCUUAGUGGCGAACGGGUGAGUAACGCGUAGGCAACCUGCCCUCUGGUUGGGGACAACAUUCCGAAAGGGAUGCUAAUACCGAAUGAGAUC